GAGCGGGUAAUUUUUUUAUUCCCCCGGGAGUUUUCAUGGUAAAUGGGAAAAACCGGGAAAAAACGUAAGGAAAACGGGAAAAUGUACAAUAUUAUUUUUAAAUCGUAAAUAUUACGGUCUUUCAAACCACGCACAACCGAACUCCGUUCGGAAUCGUUUUUCGUUAGAAGUGAUUAAUUGAUGCGUACGGAUAUAUAUUAAAUUUCCCCUCUACCUUUCCAACUUGUCAGCUACAACAGUGGCCCAUCCAUCGUGCGAACUAUGUGUCCGAUUGUUCUUAAUGGUAAUUUGGAUUUUAUAGAUUUCAUU